GGCCCUAUAGUUGAUUUUACAACACUAAACUGCAACUUUAAAGGAGUGAACUUUCACUGGGGCUU
rnacentral:tRNA from 1 species